rnacentral:tRNA from 1 species
GCUGUGAUCGUCUAGUGGCUAGGUCAUUGCGUUGUGCCCGCAAUAACCAAGGUUCGAAUCCUGGUCACAGCA